rnacentral:rRNA from 1 species
AACGAACGCUGGCGGCAUGCCUAACACAUGCCAGUCGAACGAGACCUUCGGGUCUUGUGGCGCACGGGUGCGUAACGCGUGGGAACCUGCCCUUAGGUUCGGAAUAACUCCCCGAAUGGGGUGCUAAUACCGGAUAAUGUCUUCGGACCAAAGAUUUAUCGCCUUUGGAUGGGCCCGCGUUGGAUUAGCUAGUUGGUAGGGUAAAAGCCUACCAAGGCGACGAUCCAUAGCUGGUCUGAGAGGAUGAUCAGCAACACUGGGACUGAGACACGGCCCAGACUCCUACGGGAGGCAGGAGUGGGGGAUAUUGGACAAUGGCGGAAAGCAUGAAGCAGCUCUGCCGGGUGAGUGAUGAAGGCCUUGGGGUUGUAAAGCUCUUUUAACCGGGAUGAUAAUGACGGUACCGGGAGAAUAAGCUCCGGCUAACUACGUG